ACACUCAAAAAAUGGGUUUUGUAGCACUGUUCAUUAUACACAAAUAUAUUUAGUUACAUUAAAACAUACACAUUUAUUUUUAAGACAAAAUACAAGUGUAAUGUGUUAUGCUAAAUCAAUUUGUUAUUCACUCUAGUUUACCUAACUACCUAUCUUUAAACUAAAGUAAUUGGUUUACUUUUGCGAUUCAAACUACCGGAUGUGACGUCAUUUAACGACUUCCACGAAGACGGCGCGGAGCUCUGGCGCAGGUGAUGGUGUAUCCGGUAAGUGAACUAAAUACGUUUUUUCUUCAAUCUAUCUUAAAACAUUGUUGAGGCAACUUUAUUUUAUGUUGAAGUCGAUGGUGUUUGUGUUCGAUGGUGAUGAUUUCACGUCAUUUGUGCAGCGGUGAGGUAAAGUGUGUUAUUUGUGCGUUUCAAAUGUAAUGGAGUGCUUCACGCGAUCUGUCGUGUGACGUGUUUAAACCGUAUUAAACGUGAUGUACUUGUGUUUAAACGGUAUUAAACGUGUUGUUCAUUUUCGGGUGAUUUUUAGUGUUUUAUGAUAGCAGCAGUGUUGUAAACUGUGUGAUUUGUGCGUUUCAAAAUGAAUGGAUUGCUUCACGUGUUCGUGGUGAGUUGAACUUCGAUUUUCUGUCGUGUUCCGGUGGUAACGUUAGCCAUUGAACUUGUUUUACUGGUGAUAAUACUAGUUUUUGAAACGUAUUUUCCUGUGUUUAGUCAGAGCAUUUUCUCAAGGGGUUCUUAAAGUUUAUUUUUUGUUGUUACUCUGAAUGAAUAUUUACUUAAAGUUAUGUUGAAAUGUAAAAUUUGUGAUCUAAGUUAAAUUACUAAAACAUUAAAGACUGCUGCACGUGCGUUGUGGGGUUAUCAUAGAUAUCAUUUUACAUAUUCAAAUUGAUAUAUUCAAGACAUGUUAUGCUCUACUUGUUCAUUUAAGUAGGAAUUAUGCUACAGAUGUAAUAUUGCAUGACGACAAAGGCCCACUUUCACUUGUAAUUUGUGUGCAAGGCAUGCAGUGCAGUGUCAUCAGAAAAAGAAUACUUUGCUCACAUAAACAGUCACUUAAAGAAAAGUAAAACGGUAUUUUGCAUGUUAUCAGGUUGUGAUUUCCAAUCAAAUGUCAAUGGGACUUUUAUAUCACACAAAAACAGAAAACACAACCAGCAUUCACUGAGUGAUUUUAAGCCUGGUGUAGUUUCCAUUGCUGAAGUAUUACAGGAGGCCAAAAGUUUUUAUAGUGAUGAGGCAAGUGAUGCUUUUGUUCAUGACUGAAGCCAGAUGUGUUUUAUUAAAACAGAUUAUUUAAACUAGAGCAUAUCACACUUUUUUAGGUAAACUGCAUUGUAUGUUAAAGUCUGUCAGUGCCUAUUUUAGUUAGCUGAUAAUUGAUUAUCCAUUGCUACAUUGUUAUAUGGUUGGUGCUUUGUUUGGUGACUUUGAAAAGACAAGUCCACGCAUAUGUUGUAAAAUAUGCUUUUAUUUUGUUAAAUGGACAAUUCAUAAGUUAAUGUUUUUUAAUCAUACUUACAAUUGAUUUAAAAAAAAAUAAUUAACUAAAUUUUAUUUGUUUUCCACAGUCAUACCACAAAGACUUCUCCAGUCUGGCUAAAAGUUACAAAAGGUGAUCCUUCAGUAUGCCAUUUCUACUUCAGUGAGUGACCUGUCAAAGGAAAUAGAAAAACAAUGUAAUCUACAAGGACAUUUAAGGCUGCAGCUCAUGGAUUCUGACUUGGGCAAUUAGUUUUUAAAUCUCAUGUACACAACUGAAAUUCAAGACAAAAGUACACUAAAGGUGGUAUUUCUGACAACACCAAGUGAUUGUGACAACUCGCCCCCACCACAACUGAACAGUUUUCAAAGGAGUACCUGCUCAUCACCAGCUCUUUCACUUUCAUCCUGUGACACAGUAGUUUUGUCAACCCCAUCUACUUCAUUAAGCUCUGACUGUGUUGCAAAAGCGUGUUUUGCCAAAUAUAUAACAAAACUGAGAAAAAUUGGCUGUACUGAAGUGAAAUUAAAUUUACUCAAGCCCAAACCAGCUGGAAUUUCCAGUGCUGCUUAUCAUAUAAAAAAAACAUGCAACGCUUUGGUUAACUACUGCCCUUACCAUCCACAAACGGAGACAUCCAAAACACUGGAAGUAGUCAGUGUAAUACUUCUGUCUGAAAUUAAAAAGAACAAUGAGAAAACAUUUUGAAUGCUGAUGGACAAGACCUUUUCUAUCAGGAGACAUGAGGUUGUCAAGGAGUCGCCUUCAAUAGCAGAUUUCAAAACUAGAUGGCCUGCUCUUUUCAGAAGGGAAGAGAUUUGUGCAGAGUUUAAAAGAAUCGCAACAGCCCCAUUGGUGUCUACAUACUUGGCGAAGAUGGAUCAAUAUUCUGCAAAGCUUAUAAGGAUCUAUGCAAAACGAGGAGUCAUCAAUUGACCGAGAAUUAAAAACCACAACACGGACUGACAACAUUGAUCAGGCUCCGAUCUUUCUUUGUCUACCUGAAUGAAGACCUGACCAGUCUAAUUAAAGAGUAUUUGGAUACAGAUGCACCCAGUACCCAGGAGGCGAUCCAGAAGAUGGUGAUGUGAGUCCUUGUUGUAAAAAUGUAUGGUUCAGACAUCGAAGACAGCCCAGCAGAUGUUGGAGUGUUAUUGAAGGGAUUAAGAGUUCUUGGACCUCAACAACAUUGUGUAUGCGACAACCAUGCUGAUGGGACUGAUAUAUGCACUGAACUUGAGCUACUUUCCUGAAUUCAGGUACACUUUUGAAGUAUUGCAGUUGUUGUUUCUGGAGCUAGAUGGGAAGUAACUAUCUCAUAAAGUUCAGACGCUCAAGACCAAGCCUUUUGCAGAUGUUUUGAGA